CGUUUUUGGUUUUUAUGGAUCAGAGACUAAGCGAAAGUGAUAAGUCAGCCACCUGGGGAGUACGACCGCAAGGUUGAAACUCAAAGGAAUUGACGGGGGCCCGCACAAGCGGUGGAUUAUGUGGUUUAAUUCGAUGAUACGCGAGGAACCUUACCAAGACUUAAAUGGGAAUUGACAGCUGUAGAAAUACGGUUUUCUUCGGACAAUUUUCAAGGUGCUGCAUGGUUGUCGUCAGCUCGUGCCGUGAGGUGUUAGGUUAAGUCCUGCAACGAGCGCAACCCCUGUCACUAGUUGCCAUCAUUAAGUUGGGGACCCUAGUGAGACUGCCUGCGCAAGCAGAGAGGAAGGUGGGGAUGACGUCAAAUCAUCACGGCCCUUACGUCUUGGGCCACACACGUAAUACAAUGGCCGGUACAGAGGGCAGCUACUAUGUGAAUAGAUGCGAAUCUCGAAAGCCGGUCUCAGUUCGGAUUGGAGUCUGCAACUCGACUCUAUGAAGCUGGAAUCGCUAGUAAUCGCGCAUCAGCCAUGGCGCGGUGAAUACGUUCCCGGGCCUUGUACACACCGCCCGUCAAGCCAUGGAAGUUCGGGGUACCUGAAGUCGGUGACCGUAAAAGGAGCUGCCUAGGGGUAAACCAAGGUUUG
rnacentral:rRNA from 1 species